rnacentral:tRNA from 1 species
AUUUAUAUAGUUUAAAAAAACAUUAUAUUUUCAUUAUAAAAUUAGAUAAUAUUAUCUUAUAAAUA